UUGGUUUUUCGAGACAGGGUUUCUCUGUGUAGCUUUGCGCCUCUCCUGGAACUCACUUGGUAGCCCAGGCUGGCCUCGAACUCACAGAGAUCCGCCUGGCUCUGCCUCCCGAGUGCUGGGAUUAAAGGCGUGCGCCACCACCGCCGCCCGGCUGAAGCAUGGGCUUUUAAACGUUAUUUUUUAUUUAUUGUGCGUGCUUGUGCAAGUAUGUAUGUGUUUACACCACAGGGCACGUGUGACACCCCAGGACAAUUUACGGGAGUCAGUUCUGUCUGUCCACCAUGUAGGUAGGGCCCAGGGCUUGAACUCAGGUCGUCAGGUUUUGUGCAAGGCACUUUUACUCUCUCAGUCCUGCUGUUGGGCCUCAGAUCACUGACUUUUAAUAAGACAUCCAUCUUUGCUCCCUUAGAAGAAACCACUUGGAAGCUGACUGGAGGUCGAGAGGUGGAGGCAGGGGACUCCAAUCAAGGCCAGCCUGGGCUACAUGUGACUCUCAAAACGAAACAAUAAAAAACAACAAAAAGGGGGAAAAAAAACCCACUUAAAUUUGCAUUUCUAGACACUGUCUACCCAGGAGUGGGUGUGUAGGUUCCUCAGUCUUCUCUGAGGAUGACACUGGGCUAAACUCUCCGAGGAGACAAAGCCAGUAUGGGUAAGGACAGAACAGAAAGGGUGGAGGAGAGACCUCCUGUCUCCCAGACCAACAAGGCAAGCCAGUGUGAGGUGGACUCAAAAAGAACAUGGAAUUAGGCCAGGCAGUUGUGGUGCGUGCCGCUAAUUAAAAUUCCAGCACUCAGGAGGAUCCACAAAUCGAGUUCCAGGACAGCCAAGGACUGCUACACAGAGAAACCCCUGUCUUGAAAAAACAAAAGAAAGGAUAUGGGUUUAGCACUGUGAGAGCCUUGCUUUGAGUCCUGCCCCCAGUUGACAAGCUGUGAAAUAUUGUAAGGCAGGCUCCUGACCACCCUCAGAGUCCAGGCUAUAGCAGACUUCAGACCGGUUGAAAUUACCCCGUGCGCAAUCCCUGGCACAGCGUAAAACUUGCGUCCAUGCCAGCGAUGCCCCUGAGACCACAUGAGACCUUCUUCCGUGUUCCCCUUUGAACUAGCCGAUGACCCACACAACUGGUAACAAUUAGUUUUCUGAGAUAAAUUGCCAGAGGUGUGAGAGGAAGAAGGAAGAGGGCCGGCAGGAGAAUCCGUUCCUGAAGGGUCGGUAGAGAUCCUCCACUCACACCUCCCGGGGCAGCCCACUCAGUGCAGAGACUGUAUCUAAAUACAGAGAGCGGUCCACACAAAGGGGCGGGGCUGGCUUCCUGGGAAGAAAUUGAAUCUCUCUGGUUUUGCCUGGUCUAAAAGUAGCUGUUCCCUGGUUACUCACCGUGGGCUCUGUGAUUGGCUGACUGAUGAUGGAGGUGGAGAGUAAGCUGCUGAUGGAGUUGCAGCAUCCCUUAGCCUCAGGUCCCCCGGAGGGGGAGGGAACAGGAAGCGGGAGGGAAUAGGAGCCAUUUCUCUGCACUGACCGACCUCCACGCUUGCAGCUCCCAUUUCCCCGGAACCCAGGCGACUCCCCUGCUUAGUAUUGCGCCAUGCUGGAUAUUUUCAUCCUCAUGUUCUUUGCCAUCAUAGGCCUGGUGGUUCUGUCCUACAUUAUCUAUCUGCUCUAGUGGCCUGGAGCUGCAGGGGCUGCGAGGGAAGGAUGGAGCUGAAGCGCCGAGCAUCCUGCUUGCUGACGCACCGGUGGAUUUUUGCUUCGGGUCAUUAUUCGGCUCCGGUGUUGUCCCGUCCAGCAAGAGGACUCUGCCCAAGAGCAGGAGUCCGGAGGCCCAACUGACUUCUUCCAGUGUGUCCGGAUGUGGCUAACCCUUGGCAAGCAGGGGCUCUGUGAGGCAGAGGCACUCCUGGGGACAUCAGGAGUUCAAGGAUGCCACUGGCAGCUGCUGCAUGUGUUUAAGCUGUAGACAGGGUGUAUUGAAAAUGUGGAAGGUUGAAAUGUAGAAUCAGUAAAGUCACAGUGGAGAACUGCUCAAACGUUCACACGGGCAGCCUUUCCCUAGGUCUAAAUGCAACUGCACACGAUGCCAACAUUUUCUUUCCUUUCUGUUUCACGAGCAGGCGUACCCUUGUGAACUCCAGGGCAAAUUCAGCUUGUCUGUCUGUCUCUUCAGUGUCUUUAUAGACCGUACAGUCUGAGUUGUGCGGACUCCCUUGAUCUGCAGCCUCCCCACAAAACCCCCUCCAUUUGCAUUCUUAAAGAUUUAUCAUUUCCUCCCUCCUUAUCCCAUUUGUCCCCAGCUUCUUAUUUGAUGAGAGAUAUGGUUGUGAAGUUCUUAUUCUUGUGCCUACCUAUAAAGCAUUGAAACAAAAUGUCUAUAUUAAUUUAGGAAAAUAAAGUUUACCCCUAAGGGGGGAUUUUAAAACA